CCUACGGGAGGCAGCAGUGGGGAAUAUUGGACAAUGGGCGAAAGCCUGAUCCAGCAAUGCCGCGUGAGUGAUGAAGGCCUUAGGGUCGUAAAGCUCUUUUACCAGGGAUGAUAAUGACAGUACCUGGAGAAUAAGCUCCGGCUAACUCCGUGCCAGCAGCCGCGGUAAUACGGAGGGAGCUAGCGUUGUUCGGAAUUACUGGGCGUAAAGCGUACGUAGGCGGUUAUUCAAGUCAGAGGUGAAAGCCCGGGGCUCAACCCCGGAACGGCCUUUGAAACUAGGUAGCUAGAGUCUUGGAGAGGUCAGUGGAAUUCCGAGUGUAGAGGUGAAAUUCGUAGAUAUUCGGAAGAACACCAGUGGCGAAGGCGACUGACUGGACAAGUACUGACGCUGAGGUACGAAAGCGUGGGGAGCAAACAGGAUUAGAUACCCUGGUAGUCCACGCCGUAAACGAUGAUAACUAGCUGUUCGGGUACUUGGUAUCUGAGUGGCGCAGCUAACGCAUUAAGUUAUCCGCCUGGGGAGUACGGUCGCAAGAUUAAAACUCAAAGGAAUUGA
rnacentral:rRNA from 1 species